rnacentral:rRNA from 1 species
CAAUAGCGUAUAUUAAAGUUGUUGCAGUUAAAAAGCUCGUAGUUGGAUUUGUGGUGUACUUCGGCGGCCCGUCACUAUGUGAUGGAGCUUGCUGAAGUCGCCAUCCUUGGGCGGAUCCUGUGUGGCAUUUAGUUGUCGUGCAGGGGAUGCCCAUCGUUUACUGUGAAAAAAUUAGAGUGUUCAAAGCAGGCUUAUGCCGUUGAAUAUAUUAGCAUGGAAUAAUAAGAUAGGACCUUGGUACUAUUUUGUUGGUUUGCGCACCAAGGUAAUGAUUAAUAGGGACAGUUGGGGGUAUUCGUAUUUCAUUGUCAGAGGUGAAAUUCUUGGAUUUUUGAAAGACGAACUACUGCGAAANCANNNACGAAGGAUGUUUUCAUNAA